rnacentral:rRNA from 1 species
UGGCGACCGGCGCACGGGUGAGUAACGCGUAUGCAACCCAUUUAUCAGAGGGGAAUAACCCGGCGAAAGUCGGACUAAUCCCGCAUAAAACAGGGACACCGCAUGGUGAUAUUUGUUAAAGAAAUUCGCUGAUAGAUGGGCAUGCGUUCCAUUACGUAGUUGGUGAGGUAACGGCUCACCAAGCCGACGAUGGAUAGGGGAACUGAGAGGUUGGUCCCCCACACUGGUACUGAGACACGGACCAGACUCCUACGGGAGGCAGCAGUGAGGAAUAUUGGUCAAUGGGCGGGAGCCUGAACCAGCCAAGUCGCGUGAAGGAAGAAGGAUCUAUGGUUCGUAAACUUCUUUUGCAGGGGAAUAAAGUGCAGGACGUGUCCUGUUUUGUAUGUACCCUGAGAAUAAGGAUCGGCUAACUCCGUGCCAGCAGCCGCGGUAAUACGGAGGAUCCGAGCGUUAUCCGGAUUUAUUGGGUUUAAAGGGUGCGUAGGUGGUUUGAUAAGUCAGCGGUGAAAGUUUGCAGCUUAACUGUAAAAAUGCCGUUGAAACUGUCGGACUUGAGUGUAAAUGAGGUAGGCGGAAUGCGUGGUGUAGCGGUGAAAUGCUUAGAUAUCACGAAGAACUCCGAUUG